UACCAGCACCCCGAGUGGUCGGGACGUUUUAUUGGGCCUAAAGCAUCCGUAGCCGGUUCUACAAGUCUUCCGUUAAAUCCAACUGCUUAACAGGUGGGCUGCGGAAGAUACUAUAGAGCUAGGAGGCGGGAGAGGCAAGCGGUACUCGAUGGGUAGGGGUAAAAUCCGUUGAUCCAUUGAAGACCACCAGUGGCGAAGGCGGCUUGCCAGAAUGCGCUCGACGGUGAGGGAUGGAAGCUGGGGGAGCAAACCGG
rnacentral:rRNA from 1 species